rnacentral:tRNA from 1 species
GGGCCCUUAGCUUAGUCUGGUCUCAGAGCACCCGGCUCAUAUCAGCAAGCCGACACACGUGUCGGCACUGUGGGACACCGGGCGAUCGGUGGUUCAAAUCCGCCAGGGCCCA